CUUUUCCAUUCGGCUGUGUGUAUGUGAUGGGGUCGGGUCGUGUGGGAGUGAACAAAGCAGCCCUCUGGUCUUUUUCGGGUGGAACGACAUCCUGUCUGGAUAGACGGCGUUCAGUGGAACAAAGCAAAACGCAACCUCGUUCAACCCUCUUAAGCAAGAGAAAACAAGUGGCGAGGCCCGCCGUGUUUAACUCUGUGCUUAAGUCCAUCGGGCAAAGAUUCUGACGCAGAAGUUAGCAGAGAAGGUCUUAUUCAGGUGCUAAUAUCCCAAGCUUUUCGACACAGAAGGCCACCAAAUGGGGGGAGGCAGCAAUUUAGAUUCAACGUUUAUUUGAUUAUUCUUUAAGUGGUGUUUUACCUUUUCGGCAUUUCCACUUUCCAUAAAACCCAACGUCAGAUAUUCAGAUACGAGAAUUCAGAUACGUGAGAUACGAGGUUUCCUUGAGCAACUUUUAGAAGUGGCUUAUUAAAUGUUGUAGAUGCCUUGUAAUGUCGGCUAUCCAACUCAGUUGUAUGACAUGCCAUUAACAUGAUGAGGAAGGUUUCGCCACAAUGUGGAUGCAACAAACAUCUACAGUAAAUUAGUUUUCCCAAGGUUGACCUUCUGUACAUUUGACUGUUUGUUUGACGUUCAUCUUUUUCAAAAACACCCUCCACAGCGGCUGGCAUGACAACUGCCUGAUAACAUCAACAGCGACCUUCCACUGACCUUUGGAUUAUCGUGCAAUAUCGUCACUUUGUAUUUCCAGGCCCCAGACAACACCCGUGACAAUAUUGCACAAUAAUCCCCCUGCUGUCGCUCAGUCAUUAAUGCAGAUCAGCAAUCACCUGAUGGCCUGGCUCCCCCUCCUAAUCUCUCUCUCUCGUCAUCAAGAUGUAGGACAACAGCCUGAAAAGAAGGAAUGAGUAAUAGUUGUAUAUGAUAACGUAUUGUUUUUCAUUGAAAUCGUGUAGUGAUGAAUUAAUGCAUUUUCAUAUGGGGAUAAUUAGGUCGUCUAAAAUGACCUUAUAUUCUGUAUUUAUCAUAUUUCAAGUAUUAAUUAGUAAUUGGUCCAUUUUUUGUCAUAUUUUCCAGCCUACCAUCAAGGUGCAGAAAAUGUGAGAAAGACAACGAAGCGAGACAGGGAGAAAGGGAACACGUCUGAGAUACAAAUGUGUGCGACCAAAAUGCACGGGCCUUCUGACAGAUGCAGGGUGUGUGGCUCAUCUCUACGCUCACCUUUCCACCCACAAGUCUUGCCGUGCUCACGUAAAAAAUGGAUGGGAGAAGAAGAGCAAGAGGAUAGACAGUCAACAGUCAGGACUUUGAUUUACACAUUUACAUUGAGAAACAGUGAGAGAAGUUGCAGCCGUCAUCAUGUGAGCGUCGUGUUUCAGAAUAACAAAGAACCAGAACGUUUCAGUGUUGUAACUUUGACAACUGAGUCUCCCGUGAGGAGUCCAAAAGAACACACUGUACUACCAUACAAAGUAGAUGAAAUAAAUACAAUAUGCCGCUGCUCUGCUG
ensembl:lncRNA